rnacentral:lncRNA from 1 species
AUCAUAAUAUCAUCAUCAUAACCACCACCAUCAUAACCAUCAUUAUCAUAAUCAUCUUUCGAUCUUGUCGGGUAUAUAUAUAAUUGCCAAACACAGGGCUAGCCAAACUUGAACCAGUACAUGUACACAUAGGCAUAUCAAUUUAAUCAUUCUCUGCCCUGGCUGGGUAUAUCAUCACAAUCAUUCUCCAACCUUGUCGGG